GAUGAACGCUGGCGGCGUGCCUAAUACAUGCAAGUCGGGCGAACAGACGAGGAGCUUGCUCCUCUGACGUUAGCGGCGGACGGGUGAGUAACACGUGGAUAACCUACCUAUAAGACUGGGAUAACUUCGGGAAACCGGAGCUAAUACCGGAUAAUAUAUUGAACCGCAUGGUUCAAUAGUGAAAGACGGUUUUGCUGUCACUUAUAGAUGGAUCCGCGCCGCAUUAGCUAGUUGGUAAGGUAACGGCUUACCAAGGCAACGAUGCGUAGCCGACCUGAGAGGGUGAUCGGCCACACUGGAACUGAGACACGGUCCAGACUCCUACGGGAGGCAGCAGUAGGGAAUCUUCCGCAAUGGGCGAAAGCCUGACGGAGCAACGCCGCGUGAGCGAUGAAGGUCUUCGGAUCGUAAAACUCUGUUAUUAGGGAAGAACAAAUGUGUAAGUAACUAUGCACGUCUUGACGGUACCUAAUCAGAAAGCCACGGCUAACUACGUG
rnacentral:rRNA from 1 species